AUUGAACGCUGGCGGCAUGCUUUACACAUGCAAGUCGAGCGGCAGCGCGGGGGCAACCCUGGCGGCGAGCGGCGGACGGGUGAGUAGAGCAUCGGAACGUAUCCCGUAGUGGGGGACAACCCAGCGAAAGCUGGGCUAAUACCGCAUAUGCUCUACGGAGGAAAGUGGGGGACUCGCAAGGGCCUCACGCUAUGGGAGCGGCCGAUGUCCGAUUAGCUAGUUGGUGGGGUAAUGGCUCACUAAGGCGACGAUCGGUAGCUGGUCUGAGAGGAUGAUCGGCCAGACUGGGACUGGGACACGGCCCAGACUCCUACGGGAGGCGGCAGUGGGGAAUUUUGGACAAUGGGGGCAACCCUGAUCCAGCCAUGCCGCGUGCGGGAAGAAGGCCUUCGGGUUGUAAACCGCUUUUGUCUGGGAAGAAAAGGCCUCGGCUAAUACCUGAGGUUCUUGACGGUACUGGAAGAAUAAGCACCGGCUAACUACGUGCCAGCCGCCGCAGUAAGAC
rnacentral:rRNA from 1 species